AUUGAACGCUGGCGGCAGGCCUAACACAUGCAAGUCGAGCGGAUGAAGGGAGCUUGCUCCUGGAUUCAGCGGCGGACGGGUGAGUAAUGCCUAGGAAUCUGCCUGGUAGUGGGGGAUAACGUCCGGAAACGGGCGCUAAUACCGCAUACGUCCUGAGGGAGAAAGUGGGGGAUCUUCGGACCUCACGCUAUCAGAUGAGCCUAGGUCGGAUUAGCUAGUUGGUGGGGUAAAGGCCUACCAAGGCGACGAUCCGUAACUGGUCUGAGAGGAUGAUCAGUCACACUGGAACUGAGACACGGUCCAGACUCCUACGGGAGGCAGCAGUGGGAAAUAUUGGACAAUGGGCGAAAGCCUGAUCCAGCCAUGCCGCGUGUGUGAAGAAGGUCUUCGGAUUGUAAAGCACUUUAAGUUGGGAGGAAGGGCAGUAAGUUAAUACCUUGCUGUUUUGACGUUACCAACAGAAUAAGCACCGGCGAACUUCGU
rnacentral:rRNA from 1 species